CUGAUCCUUCGAGAGGAGAAAGCACGAGAGCCCCUCGAGUUUGGCGUCGCGGCUGAGCAGCCAAACAAAACCCGGCCACCUAUCAGUUCCUUAAAUCUUGCUCUUGUUCUUCAGACCCCCCUGAAUCCCUCCGAGAACGCAGCCCAGCAGCAGCGAGACCGACAGAGAGAAAGAGAGAGAGAGAGAGAGACCACCCCCUUUCCAGCUGGCCCCUGUCCUCUCGUCAUCUGGGCAGGAGGCGCUGCAGCACCAGAUCGCUCUAGCUGCCCUCCCUAACACACGCAAUUACACCAUUCAUCAACCUCACUUAGACAUUUCAAUCCCCACAGCCACACGCCAGUGUGCCAGACUCCAAAGCCACACGAAUCCUGCGUCGGAGACAAGGUACUGAAUGUUUCCACGAGUUUUUGCUGUUGGUAUCGGCUUGAGGUUCCCAUGAUUAAACAAAAGUACAUUUGCUGGUUGGUGAAGAUGUUUAUUUUGGUUGGUGUAUCGAUUUUUGUGCUGAACCCAGCUUUGGAGCACAAAUGCUCUGCUUUUACCAUAGUAUACGGACAUUACACUUUUGGCAGAUAUGGUUAGUUAGAUGGUGUUCUAUAAUCAUCGUUUUUAUUCUAGGCAAUCUCUUCAUUACUGUGGUUUCAGUUUCAUGUCCGUGCCCCUCUGCUUCUUGGGAUAAAUGAAAUAGCUUAAACCAGUUAAGAAAAUGGGAGACAAAUAUGAAAGAUAAAUGUUUACUGCUAUCUCAGAAACCUCCCUUCUUAACUGCAGGCUCUCUCCCCCUCCCUCUCUCCCUGUUCUGAGGUCCGGCAUAUGAGAAGCAUUUUUUCAAUUAAAUCCUAGACUGAAACUUAAACAAAUCCCUUCAGUAUUGUAAAAGUACGUUUCCUUAAGUCCUGGAGGAUUUUCUCUCCACUGUCAGUUUCAGGGUGUCUGAAUUUAUCGAGAUCUACAUAGAUCUAGACAUGCUGACGCUGAGAUAGAUAGAUACAUUUCAGCAUUAGGGAUAUGACUGCGUUUUGCGCGAGUUGAAAAUGCUGAUCAACCAAAGCGAUCAUCCAAUAGACUCUCUCAGCAAAACCUAAAGAAAAAUCCGAGGAGACAAGUCCCUUCAAAGCGAAUUGACUAAGCAAGGAAGGAGGGGAAGGGCUGGAAUGGGGAGAAGGAUUUAGUACCAAUCCCAGACUCUGCUGCCCUUUCUUUGUCCUAAGCCCUCAGACCUCUUGGCUUCUAUUGGACCUUUGGCACCAGGCCUGCAAUCCCAAUGUUUAUUUGGAUGGAUUUUCCGUUUUGCAAACGCAUAUGUCACAGACAGGACGCUUUUUAUAGCCAUCUUCCUCAGAACUGCAUACUCCCUAUGUCCUCCUUCAAUGAUUUGAUGCCUCUUUUGGCUACGGGGGGAAACUUUGACAUUUGAAAAUCUUUGUAACAGAUUAACCAUCUAACUGCUUUUCCCAUAGGGACUGUGUGUCCAUAAAGCAAUCAGUGCUCUCUUCGGAUCAGCCUGUGUCUAAAGGAUAGAAAAGGAAAUGCUCUACAAAACAUAAAGGCCUACCUUACUUGCAGUAAAAAAAAGUCAGCAGCACUUUAGGCAAGUAACUUUUAAAGGCAGUGUACCUUGAAUAGUUUGUUAUGAACCCAGCUGAGAAUCCUACAUUGCAGUAAGAAUAAGAUGUUUUAAAUGAAAGGAUUUCUACCGUUUUCCAAAGUGUGCUAAAUAAGCAGCAGGCGGUAGUAAAUACAUUUUACAUUUUAGGACGGAAUGUUUUCCCAUUCUUUUUGGAUAUCGAGGACGAGCCCUUUUACGUUAUUCGCUGCUGCAGGAAAGUUUCCUUGGUCUGAGAAGUUUUACACCUCUCUCAUUAGUGGGAAUUUUAUGGAAUACCCUGGGGUAGGAGACACUAAGAGGAGAGAAAUGGAGUUCGUUGGUUAUGUACAAAAGCGGAGAGACACAAAAACUAUAUACAAUAGCAAAGUAUUCUUAAAAUGAAAUCAGUUGAGGAGAGGGAGAAUGGGGAGUAAGAGAAAAGAGACGCCCGAAAACAAUGUAUCAGGGUCUCCAUUAUUAUGCCUCACUCAAGCAAAACUCCCAUUGAUUUCGAUUUACCCUGGAUUUCAGUGGGAUUUUUGCCUGAGGAGGAAGUGCAGGAUCUGUGUGCUUGGAAUUCUUCAAGUGGGAAACUAAUGUGCAGGAAUGUUCUACAGGGCCAGCUAACAUCAGUGACAUGGAAAGUGUGAAAGUUAGCUGCUCGGAUCUCGCAGCCUUUUGCUAUUUUCUCUUGGAGCUUUUCUGUUUCCCAGGCACUGGUCUAUUCAGCACGCUGAGAUGGAUUUUUCAGCUUUCCGGAAAGCCACUCUAUAACCUAAGAAUUUUUGCCUCUGUUCCCGAGUCUGCCUAUACCAUGCAUUGUUUGAACUGGGUUGCCUUGUUGGUGUGGAAAGCAGAGAGCAGCUCGCCUUAGCCUUGCGAUGUUAACGGGCAGGGAGAAAAGUGCCGUGGAUUGAUGUGACAUAACACGCAGUGUAAUAUGAAUCUGACCUACGCUGUUUACGUUGGACAGAUGGGGAUUCAAAGAUUCGUUUCUGCCCAUGCCGCGUAUAUUGAAUGAGCUCAUAGGAAAAGAACAUUACGCGUCUCCCAUCCUUUGCCGAGAGCCCAACUGGACGUCUGGGGAACGUGCUAAUCAGGAGCAGGUUUCAUGCUCCAGUUCGUGAGAGGUUUUCAUUAAUUUCUGAGUAAAGCCUAUAAAAUAUAACGAUCCACUCAAAGGUAGGGCCGAGUGACUGAGUGCCGGAUUAUUAAAUGAUUUACGAACAUAGUUUGGAAAAAAGUAAUAAUCCAAGGAGCACCUAAGAGUGAGGCUGCCAAUUCUUGAGCGAGUUUUGCGCUCCCCUGUCCACCUCCUCGGACAUUCAGGGAGACCCUGGCGGCGACUAGGGCAGGAAGCAAUAAAAGCCAUUUUACAUCA